UACGUAGGCAGCAAGCGUUGUUCGGAGUUACUGGGCGUAAAGGGCGCGUAGGCGGCGUUUUAAGUCGGGGGUGAAAGCCUGUGGCUCAACCACAGAAUGGCCUUCGAUACUGGGACGCUUGAGUCUGGUAGAGGUUGGUGGAACUGCGAGUGUAGAGGUGAAAUUCGUAGAUAUUCGCAAGAACACCGGUGGCGAAGGCGGCCAACUGGACCAGCACUGACGCUGAGGCGCGAAAGCGUGGGGAGCAAACAGG
rnacentral:rRNA from 1 species